GAUGAACGCUGGCGGCGUGCCUAAUACAUGCAAGUCGAGCGAACGGACGAGAAGCUUGCUUCUCUGAUGUUAGCGGCGGACGGGUGAGUUACACGUGGAUAACCUACCUAUAAGACUGGGAUAACUUCGGGAAACCGGAGCUAAUACCGGAUAAUAUUUUGAACCGCAUGGUUCAAAAGUGAAAGACGGUCUUGCUGUCACUUAUAGAUGGAUCCGCGCUGCAUUAGCUAGUUGGUAAGGUAACGGCUUACCAAGGCAACGAUGCAUAGCCGACCUGAGAGGGUGAUCGGCCACACUGGAACUGAGACACGGUCCAGACUCCUACGGGAGGCAGCAGUAGGGAAUCUUCCGCAAUGGGCGAAAGCCUGACGGAGCAACGCCGCGUGAGUGAUGAAGGUCUUCGGGUCGUAAAACUCUGUUAUUAGGGAAGAACAUAUGUGUAAGUAACUGUGCACAUCUUGACGGUACCUAAUCAGAAAGCCACGGCUAACUACGUG
rnacentral:rRNA from 1 species